rnacentral:tRNA from 1 species
AAUAUAGUGCCUGAUUAAUGGAUAGCUUUGAUAGAGCUAAUCAUGUAUGUAUAAUACCUAUAUUA